AACAAAACAGAAAUAUCAAUCAGCUGUAAUGUAAUGGCGGACAGGUGGAGCAUUGGUGGAGCGGUUAAUCUAGUGAUAAGUGACGUUAACUUUAGUUUGUGACAUUUUUUUUAAUUCAUAAGUUUUAAUGCUAACUUAUCUUUUAGCUAAAUGAGUAGUCCAUGGCUAUCUUAAAGAAAUUACCGGGCUUUGCUUUGCAGCAGACUCAUGGACGACACUGUUAGUGAAUUAUCUGGUGAAUCAAUUCCCUCUGAUGAUUAUGAGUUCAUCAAUGACCCUCUUCAACGGCAAAAUUUGCUGUAUCCAUUGCCGUACCUGAAAAUAGCAGACAAUGGUGAUCUCAACCAGUUAAAAACUUGUUUGAAUGAAGUGCUAAAUGAAAGUGAAACAAUGAGUGACUCUGAUCAAAAAGAUUGCUCGGAGGGUAGUAAGCUCAAAGAAAAUCCAAUCUCUCCGAAAGAUGAUUAUAUGCCUUCUGAUGUAGCCAUCAGUGAAAUAGCUGAUGACGAUUAUUGGGCGACACUCGCAGAGAACAGUAUGUUUAUUUUUUUGUUUUAUAACCUUUACCGUAUCAAUUACAACAAUUUGUUUCAUUUAUGAAAGAUCUGAAACCACAUAAAACCAAAUAAAAGGCAAAAGUAGUGUGGGUAGAUUAAGAUAAAUAAGCUAGCCUAAAAUGAAGA
rnacentral:lncRNA from 1 species